GCCCGGCUUGCUCAGUCGGUAGAGCAUUGGACUCUUAAUCCCAGGGUCUUGGGUUUGAGCCCCACGUUGGGCG
rfam:Nematostella vectensis strain CH2 x CH6 NEMVEscaffold_18_Cont3437, whole genome shotgun sequence.